UGGGAAAGUAACCCUUUACUUGGACACUUGCGGUAAUUCUUGAGCUAAUACAUGCAACAACCUCUAUUCACGAAGGGACGCUUUUAUUAGAUCAAAACCAAACGGCUCCGGCUGUCUCGCUGGUGACUCCAAAUUACUUUUGGGCGAAUCCAAUGCCCUUGGCCCGCGAAAUUUUCUUUCAAAGUGGCCCCCUUCCACCUUCGCCCGGGGGUAACACACCACCAGGGUUUUGAACGGGACCGGGGAAUCAAGGGCCCAAUCCCGGAAUGGAGGCUUUAAAACCGCCUCCCACUUAAAAGGAAGCCCCACG
rnacentral:rRNA from 1 species